AUACGGAGGAUUCGAGCGUUAUCCGGAUUUAUUGGGUUUAAAGGGAGCGUAGGCGGACUAUUAAGUCAGCUGUGAAAGUUUGCGGCUCAACCGUAAAAUUGCAGUUGAUACUGGUCGUCUUGAGUGCAGUAGAGGUAGGCGGAAUUCGUGGUGUAGCGGUGAAAUGCUUAGAUAUCACGAAGAACUCCGAUUGCGAAGGCAGCUUACUGGACUGUAACUGACGCUGAUGCUCGAAAGUGUGGGUAUCAAACAGGAUUAGAUACCCUGGUAGUCCACACAGUAAACGAUGAAUACUCGCUGUUUGCGAUAUACGGCAAGCGGCCAAGCGAAAGCAUUAGGUAUUCCACCUGGGGGGUACGCCGGCAACGGUGAAACUCAAAUGAAUUGACGGGG
rnacentral:rRNA from 1 species